GAUGAAGAACGUAGUGAAAUGCGAUAAGUAAUGUGAAUUGCAGAAUUCCGUGAAUCAUCGAAUCUUUGAACGCACAUUGCGCCCCCUGGCAUUCCGGGGGGCAUGCCUGUCCGAGCGUCAUUUCUGCCCUCAAGCACGGCUUGUGUGUUGGGUGCGGUCCCCCCGGGGACCUGCCCGAAAGGCAGCGGCGACGUCCGUCUGGUCCUCGAGCGUAUGGGGCUCUGUCACUCGCUCGGGAAGGACCUGCGGGGGUUGGUCACCACUAUAUUUUACCACGGUUGACCUCGGAUCAGGUAGGAGUUACCCGCUGAACUUAAGCAUAUCAAUAAGCGGAGGA
rnacentral:misc_RNA from 1 species